rnacentral:rRNA from 1 species
UACGGGGGGAGCAAGCGUUGUUCGGAUUUACUGGGCGUAAAGGGCGCGUAGGCGGCCAGCACAAGUCAGUUGUGAAAUCUCCGAGCUUAACUCGGAAAGGUCAACUGAUACUGUGCGGCUAAAGUGCGGAAGGGGCAACUGGAAUUCUUGGUGUAGCGGUGAAAUGCGUAGAUAUCAAGAGGAACACCUGCGGCGAAGGCGGGUUGCUGGGACGGUACUGACGCUGAGACGCGAAAGCGUGGGGAGCGAACAGG